rnacentral:lncRNA from 1 species
CUGCUCUCUUUUUUGCAAUCUGAACAGGGCACUGACAUGGCCAGGUCUGUGUAACCAUGCCCCCACCUCCUCUUCCUUGCUGCUUUGGGAUAGAGAUGUGGCCAAGAUCAGAAUGAGCAUCAGACUGGAAGAUGACGCACAUGGAAAUGCCAGAUGAAACACUGCUAUUCCCCCAGGACAUGCUGAGGAGCAUCACUGAAACAUUCCCAUGCCUGAGCCUACUACAGCACAUGACUUGCCAUGUUAAGCAGCAUCAUCGUGGCCCACCAGGUGUCAAGAGAGGCAUUUUCAGCAGAGACGAGUGAGGGCUAGACCAGCACACAGCAUUCAAAUUAAUGGGUUCUGAUCUUCAGCACACCGCUGGUAGUCCAUGGAGCAGUGAGCUUCAAAGAUGCUCUAGCCUCUGCUGACAUCCAAAAUACUCCCAAGGCAUAUCUCAGGUAAGGUUUAGUGCUUCAGGGGAUGUCUGCACUGUGUAGCUCUCCCACAACAUUCACUUUCACCAAGUGUGACAUUUAUUUUCUGAAAUGACAAUCAUUUCAAUCCUUGAGCACUGCAGAAAAU